UUUUAUAAAUAUUUUUAUUAAUAAAUUAUUUAUAUAUUUAAUAUUUUUUAUUAAAAUAUUUAUUUUUGUUGGGGGUGAUAAAAAAAUAAAUAUAACUUUUUUUAAAAAAUUAACAAGAAAUAGUUGAAUAAAUGAUCCAAUAUUAUU
rnacentral:rRNA from 1 species